rnacentral:lncRNA from 1 species
UCUCACUCUUUGAGUACACUAAGAUGUCAUCAAUGAAUACCACAAUGAACUUGUCCAACUUGGGCAUUUUCAUCCCGGUUGAAUUCGGUGUAUGCGGGAAAUCAUCGCCGAUACUCUGUGGGGCUAUCCGGUUUGCUCGCUCCGCCCUUUCACUUACUUCGAAGGGGAUCGCAGACUACUUUCUUUGGGGCUAUGCUAACUCAUAGCAGCACCUAUCACUAGAAACUCUUUCAUUCCUCACUAGCAGUUCUUUGGAACUAGUUCCGUAGUACCUGUAAGAGCAGAACACUUCCCUCCACUCAUACUCUUUACCUGUGGGGCUGUAUGGUACUUUAGCUGGACUUUACACCAGCUCUAUUCACUGAUAGCGUUACUGGCUCUUUUCCAGCAUUUCUUGAAAGCAGCUCGCACUCACCGCUGCGCGCCUAGUUAGGCUUUGAAAUAAUAGGAACAAAGAUCUUCC